rnacentral:lncRNA from 1 species
AAUCUUGUUAAAAAGUGUAGCUGAGACCACAAAUCUGAUAGAUAUUUUUUCCUAUAAAUAAAAGUAAGAUUCAUAAAAAUUCAUAACCAUAAUAUAUGAUUUCAAGCAGUAUUCCGAAAUUUUUAGAUUUAAAGGUAAAAUACAAAAUGGAAGUCUUACAAAAAUACAUGUAAAAGAAAAAAAAAAGUGGAAAAAUGAAAGAUUG